rnacentral:piRNA from 2 species
UCUCAUUGGAUAAAUCAAAUCAGGUGA